UAACCGUUUCCAAAUAACAGGAAACGAAACUUGAAGGGAGUUUAUUCAAACAUGGUGUACACGUACGGUGGGAAGAAGGAUCUGCCUCACUUGGCUCUCUCCUUGUGCAUUCACUGUGGAAGAUGAGAAAAAAUCAAUUAAAACAAAAUCGGACUCCUCCCCUUAAGUCACUUAAGGAUAGACAACUUUGUGCUUGCAUAAAAUCAGGAAAAUGAUAUGGAAUUAUGGAUUUCCUUAUUUUAAAUGGCUACACAAUCGUUUAAGUGCCUCGUCUUUAAUUUUUUCUCUCAAUCCAUAACUUCAAGAAAGAACACAAAUGACAAACCCUUUGAUUUAUGCUUCCGCUGCUACUACUAUGUUAUUCCAGUGCUUGCUCAUUCUAUUGCAAGUUUUGUUUAAUAAAUUUGAAGUUAUAGCAACCAACUGACUCUUAGUCUAAGUAACAAACUCAAUUGGGUUUUCAGUUUUAGGGUUUCACUUUUGUCAAAUCGAUUUGGUGAUGGUUCCUCUGCAUCUACAUUUGAUGCCCUUUCUUUCAUUUGCUUUAAGAUUUGGAAUUUAAUGUUUUUUUAUUGAAUUUAAGGAGACUGGGCAAUCUUUUAGGGCAUAUGAAAAGGGGAGAAGAAGGUAAUAGUAUAUAACUUUAAUGGUUUUACUUUUAUUGUAAUUAAAUUUAUCAUCUCAUUCAAUCUUUCUCCUUUUGUCGAAUACUUUUUGUCGUAUCCUCGUACUUUGCCUUAUAGGUUAAUCCUAGGCAGUAACCGUCACUCCAUCAUACUCGCAUACAUUUUCUCAUAUUUUGGUCAGGUGUAGCUGCCUUGCUGAGGUAAUUUUCCUUGUUAUCCUUGGAAUGGUGUUACAUUCAAUAACAUGCCUGAUCUACCCUAAAUCGUAGCUAAGUUAAUUUGCAUUUAAUCAAUUUCAUUUGCAAAAGAUCAAUUACCUUACCAUUUUUCAUAUGUGCACGCGACGUAUUUGUAGAAAUGUGAAGAUCCCCAUUUAAAUCAUUACUCAUAGUCAACAAUGAUGAGUCUUUUGAUUUUUCAAAUUCCAAUUUACUGUAGAACUUAGGAAAGUUGUUACACUUUAAAGAUUGGUCAUCUAUUAUGUUGAGGUCUUCGAGUAAAGUAACUACGUUUAUGAUUUCCUUGUAAUUUACGUUAAAGGUUAAAUCUUUUAUUGGUAUUCAUAUAUAAUUAUUUACUCUACCUUGACACAUGUUUGAAUUAUACUAUUAUUCUAUUUCUACAAUUCUUUUUUGCUUUUGUAGCCACAAUAAGAAAAUGGUGAUAAAUGUAAGUAGUAAUUGAUUAUUUGUAUUCUAUUAUGAUUUGUAUGUUUUCACCUUUAAGUUUCCUUUUUAAUCACUAACAUUUAUUUGUUUCUAUUCUAGUUAUAAUGUCUUCUUUGACCCCUGAUAUUGAUUAUCCAAUGUGUUUUGACUUAUGGAAUGCUACUACUGAGAUGAUUUCACAUUAUGGGGCGGUGUAAUUCAUUACAGAAAAAGGCAUGAUUUAUAUGCAUUAGAUGAUGUAAAGUCUGAUAUUACAAGAGAUAUUGUACGAGUAAAAGUGUAAAAGUGUGACCCUCCAAAACGGUAUAUAUGUAAACUUACAACCACACACAAAGGACUUUUUGGAUAUCUCUAACCCAAAAGCAAUGUUAACCAGUGCUUUCUCAUGGGUUAAUCUAAUGUAACUUCAUUCAUGGAGGGGAGCCACCCAAAUAGAGAAGAAAAAUGGAGGUCAUCAAUGUCACUUAGUAUCAAGCUAUUGCAAAAGAGAAGUUACCAAAGAAGGUGUAGACUACUAUGCUUCUGGUGUUCAAGAAUCUAGAGAGAAGAAAAUGGAGGAAAUAAGAAAUCGAAACCUUGUAUGCUACGAUUCAACUUUAUCAUAUGAAAGAAUCAAUCCAUAUAGGUUGAACACGAGUGUUUUAGAGGAGUUCUAGAAGAACGCAUUCAAAUAAGGUGAUAUAAUCACGAUUAAUUGAAGAUCGAUAAUGCCUGGAGACAAAAAGAUUAACAAUCAUAUAGUUUUUCUGGUGCUGUUUUAGGUGUAUGACAAAUAAAUCUAUGUUGGUAAAAUUUUAGGUGGUCAAAAUUGUUGAAUUUAGAUUCUUUUUUUGGAGCUUAUGUUCUUUUGAACAUUUUCUUGAAUUUGUAACUAGUUAAAUUUUUUAACUUUUCAAGUUUAUCAUCAUAAUUUUAGCAUAAAGGGUUGAAUUCUCUGAAAA